CUCGCCUGUAUGGGUGCGCAGGUGUACCUUCACGUCGGACUUGCGCGAGAAGCUCUGAGGGCAUGAAGGGCAUUCAAAUGGCUUCUCGCCUGUGUGGGUGCGCAGGUGUAUUUUCAAAUCACACUUGCGCGAGAAGGCCCGAAGGCAUGAAGGGCAUUGAAAUGGCUUCUCGCCUGUAUGACUGCGAAGGUGUUCCUUAAGCUUGGACUUAUUCAAGAAGCUUUGAGGGCAUGAAGGGCACUGAAAUGGCUUCUCACCAGUGUGGGUGCGCAGGUGGUUUGUCAGGUGGGCCUUUAGUGAGAAGCACUGAGAGCACACAUGGCAUAUAAACGGACGCUGGCCGGUAUGGAGGAACAGGUGCCUGUUUAGGUUAUACUUUCUUGAAAAGC